rnacentral:rRNA from 1 species
GAUGAACGCUGGCGGCGUGCCUAAUACAUGCAAGUCGAGCGAACAGACGAGGAGCUUGCUCCUCUGACGUUAGCGGCGGACGGGUGAGUAACACGUGGAUAACCUACCUAUAAGACUGGGAUAACUUCGGGAAACCGUAGCUAAUACCGGAUAAUAUUUUGAACCGCAUGGUUCAAUAGUGAAAGACGGUUUUGCUGUCACUUAUAGAUGGAUCCGCGCCGCAUUAGCUAGUUGGUAAGGUAACGGCUUACCAAGGCAACGAUGCGUAGCCGACCUGAGAGGGUGAUCGGCCACACUGGAACUGAGACACGGUCCAGACUCCUACGGGAGGCAGCAGUAGGGAAUCUUCCGCAAUGGGCGAAAGCCUGACGGAGCAACGCCGCGUGAGUGAUGAAGGUCUUCGGAUCGUAAAACUCUGUUAUUAGGGAAGAACAAAUGUGUAAGUAACUAUGCACGUCUUGACGGUACCUAAUCAGAAAGCCACGGCUAACUACGUG